CCCAGUGAUGAGUUUGAAAGUCUUGCUUGGGGCCAUAUGGCAUGGAUAUGCCAGAAGGAAAUUAUAUACUGCUCUGUUUCUACUCAACUGCUUUUCGUUGUAAAACUGAGGCUUGGUGAGAGGAAGUUGCAGCCCAAAGCCCUAGCAGGUAAAUUGGGCCCUGACUGCUGUCUGUUUUCUAGCUCUGGAUGUGUGUUCUCUGCAGCGGAUGCCUCCCUGGACAAGGUGUUAAAAUUACAACAAACUGAAUUUUGCAGCACUUAAUAGACUUUGUUUAUAAUUUUAGAAUUGUGCAAUAAAUUGGACCAAAAUGGUUCAGAACAUUCA